GAGAACCAUCGAGUUAGUGCUAGCAUAGAAUCUAACAAGAAAUGGCCCUGCAUCCAUUCUCUUUUCUUCUAAUAACAGCCCCAGAUUUCCAUUUUUGGACCUACCUUUUCCUUUUUAUCAGGCUAAGUGUUCAUGGUGGGGCUCUGUCCUUAGUUCCAGGGAUAAAGCCUGUGACCCAAACUUAAACCGCAGAUCAUUUUCCCCAGGCCAUGGAGAUUGUUUCAAAUGUGGGCACAUGGCCUGAAUGGGUCAUAUCAGAGUAAAUCUUAGGGCUUCUGGGUUAUGCCACCAUCACAGGCUCUUGCUUUCCUCACUGAACUUGAACCUAGACGGAUGUAAGCUGGAGCUGUGGCAGCCAUCAUUGCCCUGUGAAAAGUCCACUUGGAGCUGCCAAAGACCACCCCAGGAGCUUCAGAAUGAAGACAACCUGGAAGUCAGAGCUGACAGGCUUUGGUACUCAAUGAAAUAAAAGAGGGCACAAACAAAUGCUCAUGGAUAGGAA
rnacentral:lncRNA from 1 species